ACAAAAAUAUGAAUAUAAUUAAAAGUUAACAUCAAUAUAAAAUUUUGGGACUUACCUGGCCGUUGAUGAAAAUGCAGCUAAGUUUUUGCUCCAAAUUAUUUCUGUGCAAUUCCGAGGUUUUAAUGGAAAUCCUAAGGCGUUUAAUUUCUGCUGACUGCUCGUUUCUGCACUUAUUCAAAGUUCUAACACUAUUCAGCCUUUGUCUAAAAAGAAUUAGAAAUACACAUACUUAUUAUUUUCUCGUCUUUCUCGUCCUGCAGUUUGAGAUACCUCUCCAACCUCGUCUUCUUGAAUUAUUUCAACAGGGGCGGUAUUCUUCAACAUUAUUGUCCUCUGCAGGAGCAGUUAACGUGGGAAAAGCGCUAGGCAGUAACUUAGUUGGAUUCCGCGAACUUAAACCUGCAAGAGUGUUUGGUUAUAAAAGUAAAAUUAUUGUAAUCAAAAUGCCAGAAUUACACAUUUCAAACUGCAAGUUGCAUUAAUUUUGUCCAUACGACGACAAAAAUUAUCCAUUGUUUUACCACUGUUUUAUCUUUAGGGAAAUGGAAAAAUCUCCAUUUCGUAGCACAAUUUUUACCAUUAUUAUUAUUGCACCCAACACUGCGCAACUCAUUUAAAAAAAUAUAAAAUUUAA